CGUUGCGUUGCGCGUGAGGUUACGCACAGUGACGCUCCUGAAUCCCUACAGGCGCGCAGAGGAGCGUCCCGGAAUUAACGGAGGAGAGAGAGAGAGGAAAAUAACGGAUCCGCUAAAUUUAACCGAUUCACGGUAAACGGUGCACCUUCCCGCCGGGGUGCAACCUCUUAGAGCGGCGGACGGAGGUCGGAGGAAGGGAUCGUUCUCACGCGGAGCCUUCAAGUCUUCCCAGAUGUGGGGUGUCUCCAUCCAUGGCCUCCUUCAGGUGACCUCCGGUGACCUCAGUCACUCCUGACUGCAGCUUUGAACUCCUGAUCCACCAGAAGACGUCUGCAGGAGCUGCUGAAUUAUUUAACAUCAGACGGUGGGCUUGGCUGCCGAGCGAGAAGGAGAGAGAGAGCUAGAGAGAACAGAGGCGGGAGGAAAAAAUGAUGGAGAGAGAAAGGGAUGUAUGGAGGUGUCCGACGCUGCAGGAAGCCGUGAGUCAGCAGGGAGAGAAAGAACCAGUGGGAGGGAAGACAGAGAGGGUUUAUAGAUAACUUUAGGUGAUACGUCUGCGGAGAGUGGCGUCAAAAAGCCUCCAGGUGCGU